rnacentral:lncRNA from 1 species
CCUCAGGGGGAUCAAAACUCGGGAAACAAAGGACAAGACGGCAAGGCCAGCACUCACCGGGCGGGCGGGCGGCGGCCCUGGCCUCUCGGGAAUCCGCCCCCAGCCGGCAAGCGGACGACGUCCGGACGGGGCUCGGUGUCGCUAGGAGCCAGGCCAAGCCUAGCGCCCCGUCCCCGUCCCCAUCCCCAAACCGCAGCCCCCGCAGGGGCGGCCGCACCGGGCACGGACGGCGAGGCGGAGGCCGACGCGGACCGAACCCACGGGGGCCCCGGGCGGAGGAGAAAGGAAAAGGAGGGGGACGGAGCGGAAGCUCGGGCGCGUGGGCGGAGGGCGGGGGCGCCGGCUCGCAGCAGCCGCCGCCGCGGCUCUCGGGAUGUGUCACUCAACGCGCCGCAGCGUCACCGACGCCAAGGGAGGCCGAGGCCCGGGGACCCCGCCGCCGCCGCGCGAGCCGCCCGUCCCGCCCGCCCGCCCGCCCGAGCGGGAGGAGCCGCCGCCCGGCCUCCGCGCAGGCCGGCCCCGGGCCCGCAGGAGCACACAGCCCGCCCGCUUACCUGCGGCGCCACCCCGUCGGCCGUGCAGCCCCGGCCCUCAGCGCCCACAAAGGGUCGCCAUGGCGUCGCCCGCCGCGCGAGCGCCGAUUGGUGGAGCGCGGGGCGGAGCUCCGUUCAAACCCACGCCAGGCGGAGCCUGUGCCGCGUGGGCUCCCGCGCAGCGCCCUCAGCCGUUAGGAUCGCGCGCCGGGCGCCCCGCCCCGCCCGGCCCCGCCCCGGCCCCCCGGCCUCGCUCCGCCCCCUUUCCCUUGUCUCUGGACGGCCCGACCGCGGGUCCCGGCAUUCCGCGCGCCCUGGCUCCCAGAAUCCCCGCGCGCUCGGCCCCGCCCCCGGCUCCCAGGUAACCUUGCGGGCGUCCCUCCCUUGCCGGUUCCCGGCCGGCUCGCCCUCGGUCUCCGUCGACCUCCGUCCUGCGGUUGUCCGUAGCGGCGGCUCCUUUGAAGCCCAGGAGGGCCGAACGAGCCUCGGGGGUGGAACCCCGGAACCAGGCCCCGGGGUCUUCCGGCGGGACCCCAAGUCCCGCCGCCGCCGGUGA